rnacentral:rRNA from 1 species
GAUGAACGCUGGCGGCGUGCCUAAUACAUGCAAGUCGAGCGAACAGAGGAGGAGGUUUCUCUCUUUACGAAAGCGGGGGACGGGGGAGUAAAACGUGGGUAACCAACCUAUAAGACUGGGGUAAAUUAGAGAAACCGGAGCCUAUACCGGAAAAUAUAUACAAAAGAACGGAUGAAGAGGGAAGGACAGGUUGCGCGAGAAUUAUCGAAGGAACGGAGCCGCAUUAGCUAGUUGGUAGGGUAACGGCUUACCAAGGCAACGAUGCGUAGCCGACCUGAGAGGGUGAUCGGCCACACUGGAACUGAGACACGGUCCAGACUCCUACGGGAGGCAGCAGUAGGGAAUCUUCCGCAAUGGGCGCAAGCUUGACGGAGCAACGCCGCGUGAGUGAUGAAGGUCUUCGGAUCGUAAAGCUCUGUUAUUAGGGAAGAACAGAUGUAUAAGUAACUAUUCACGUCUUGACGGUACCUAAUCAGAAAGCCACGGCUAACUACGUG